rnacentral:lncRNA from 1 species
GCCUGUCGCAGCACUUUCCUGCUGUGCACUCCGUUGCUGGGCCUGCGGAAGGUCCAGACGCAUGUUGCCCUGAACGCGGGGAAGAGUGCGGAAGAGCUCCAGGAAAGUGUCUGCAGUCACCUGGCCAGGAACGUCCCCGAGCUGCUGGAAAGCAUCUAUGACACCCUCAGGACCUACUUCUGGAGCUCGUGCUGGGGCAUGCGGACUGCGGCCGUCAAACUAACUGCUCUCCAGUUGCUGCAGGAAGACCAGCAUGCCAGCGUGCAGCAGGCAGCAGCUCAGGUCCUCAGAGACAACUGGCCAGAGCUGAGCCACGUUCAGACCACCUAGGAGGUCGUCAGAGGGCAGGAACGGGAAGGCCGGACAGGCAAGGAAAGGGCAGCCCGUCCAGAGAGUUGGAGGUGUUACCACGGAGCCAGCACAAUCAGCUGACCAAAAUAAAGCAUUGCU